CAAGAGCUUUUAAUAAAAUUUGUAAGAUUAUCCCUUUUUGUCAAUAGAACAAACUUCUGCCUUUUCAUGUUUGCUUUAACAGAGAAAUUAUUGCUAACUUAAUAAGAUUUAGACAUUCAACUUUCAGAGAAAUUAUAUAAAUCUAAUAUUAUAUAAAAAUAGUUUUUUAUUCCUAUCUCUAAUUGAAACAAGCAGGUAUUUGGCACACAGGGUCAUUGUAAAAGCAAAAUCUCUCUCUUUCUAAUAUUAGCACUUUUCCUUGAGGAUAUGAAAUCUAGGAGUCUAACACAAAAGAAUCUAUGGGUGAAACAAGACUUUCUGGGUCCCCUUUGUUGGCAGGAUAGGCUCUUUUCUCAUACUUUUAAAUUGGAAGUAGCUUUGCGAUCUAGAUUAACUAUCAUGAUUGAGAUAAAGCCAUAACUUUUACUCGUAGGUACCAUGAAAAAGUAAGUAGACUGACUUCAUCAGUGAGGUUUUCUCCAGGGGAUUUGCUUGUGGGAGAGGCCUUGUUGCACUUUUUGAACAGAAAGGUACGAUUCACUGAAGUAUGAGUGUUCAUAAAGGCUAGCAAAGUGUAUUUUUUGAAGAAUAUUAUAUUUUCUAAUAUGUCAGGAGGUUUCUAGAUGUGAGAUAUAAAAAAACUAAUUUAACUUUUUCUCCCAAAAUUAUACUAUCAUUACAUUAGUGUAUUCUUAAAGAAUGGAGAUGGACAUUACUCAUCUACAUUACCAAAGGGGAAAAAAAAUUAAAAACCAGGUGGCAGAUAUGUGCCUUAUAAUUUAAACAAUAGUGAGUGAUGAACAAUCUUCCAAGUUCAUUGAAGCAGGAAUGGGAGAGAAUAUCUAUAAAAGUGAAUAAAAAAGGAUCUUGUACAAAUAUGCCUAACCCUCCAUUUUAUUAGCUUAUAAUGCAAAUUAUUAUUUGCUCUUGCUACUAAGAGCCAUUUUAAUGUAAUGGAUUCAUUUCAGACCCUCAAGAAAACCAAAGCCUAUGUCCUUUUACAAGUUUGUGAAGAACUUUCAAAUGGCCACAUCCAAUUUGAAGACAGAUAUAUUUUUUCUUGCUUAUUAAGUUAUAAAGUUGGAAUUUAUGCUGAUGAGCAUUUUCCAUCUUGACUAAUACUUUCUGCAAAGAAGUUUUUCUUUUAAAAGAACAGAUAGCAAGUGAACAGAAGGAAAUUCCAAGUCUCUGUGAUUUGAUAGUGGUCACCAUUUCACAUUCUUAAGUUUAGAGCUGUAAACAACCAUAUUCUUUUUUUUCUUUGUGUAUCUGUGGGUUAGUCAGUAUCUUGUAUAGCGCCUUGCACACGAUAGUUGUUUGAUAAGUUUGCUGAACAAAUGAAUUCAUGAAACACUUUCACUAUUUACCGUGUAAUCUUUUCUGAUGUGAAAAAUAUAAAGGUAAAGGAGUCUUAACAUUUUUCUUUAUUUAUGUGAAUAAAAAAUUGUUAAAAUUCUCGAUGGGUCUGACUUAAAAUGACAGAAAAGCAGCCCCAUUCUAUGCUAGUUAGCAAGAGAAGAAUCUCUUAACAUUUCCCUGCCUAUUGAAAUGAAAACUGUUUGAGGUAAUACUGUAAUGUUUAAAACAAACAAAAACCCCCAAAGCUUAGAUGUAACACAAAAUGAACCUUAAAAAUUAAUGACUUGGAAAGUCCUUUGAGUUAAUCUCUUUUUACAUUCCAGAAUUAAACUUUCUAUGGCAUACUUAUCUUUCUUGAGACCUUUAAAAUUCUAAAGUGUAGCCAUCUUCUGAAGUGGUGAAGGGAACAGAAGGUUACAAAUCCUAUCAUUCUUUUGGGAGUGGGAGUGGGAACUGGCCAGUAUGGUCUUAUCUACUAGAAAAGAAUAUAAGAACUAAUGUUGAUUGUUAAUGAUAAUGCCACAUAGGGCUGCUCUACGGAAUGGCCAAGAGGAAUCUAUUAUGCAAGAGCGAUGGCUACUAUUGCUGUGUUCCCAACUUCUAUUCCUUAGUGAGCACCUCUCACAUUUGAUUAGGGACUAUAGCUUUGGGGCACAAUGGAACCAGUGGAGUGAAGGCAGGAGGAAUCAAAAGAUUGGAAGUAGCUUCAGAGUUGGGAUGCACUAUGCCUUGUGUUGGCCCAAACAACUCCUAGAAUCUCUCUUCAUUGAUUUGGGGCCUGGUUCAAGAUUACAUACCUGUUAAGAAAAGACUAUACUGGCAGAUUCUUUUCCAUUUUGAAUGUGAGACCUUUCAUCAAUGAGUAUGAGGAUAUUAUUUCAAGUGGAAAUGAGUGCUUAUAUAGCAAGGAUGUCCCUGGCUUCAGCUGAGUAGCCUCCCUAGGCGGUAUUUGCACCUCAGCAGCAUUUGCUCAGAAAAAUUAAGAAGACUGGAAGGAGUCAAACAGCAACAGAACCCUAAAUAAGUUAAAUCUCAAAUCUAAAUUCCAUUUACUUAAGAUCAAACAUCCUCUUUUAAAACACUCACUUGGCACGAAGAUACAGAUAUUGCUUCCUGUUUAUAUGCAGUUUAAAUAUGCAUUUACACUCUUAGUGGGUUACAGCUAAUCCUUCAACUUUUGUUUCUAACAAGAAAUGGAUUCCUAAAAGGAAAUGUUCUUUACCAGUGUCUGGAACAAUGAUGACCCAUUGCUCUCCCAAAAAUUCUCUGUUUUAUUCACAUGUAGAUAGGACUUGGUAUUUCAUCACCAAGUUCAUAACAAAGUCAACUCACUAUAGUGGAAGAGUAUUUAUAAAAUUAUACUUUUUUGAUAGAAACCAAAAACAGAGGUUGAUAUAAUAUCCUGUUGUCAGGGCAUAUCCAGCUUAGACAUUAUACAGAAGAACUAGGCAGUAUCACCCUAAGACAUAAAUAUUUUAUGAUAUGGCCUAUUUAUUGAUUUAUUUAUUCAGUCAGUAAAGAUUCACUUACAUCAGGCAAAGUUCUACGCAUGCAGAAAAAGAUAUGUCUCUAACCCCAAAGACACUGUGUUUGGAGAGACAAGCAUGAAAAUAGACAAUCACAGUUCAAUGCAAUGAGUGGAGUAAUCUGAAGUCUGUGCAACAUGCAGUGGGAUCCAGAGGGAAGAAGCAUCUAUAUUUGGCAGAAGGAGAAAAGGUAACACUUGAAUUCAAUCCCGAAGGAGAAGCAAAGUUUUAUCAGGUAUUCCGGGUAGAGGAAAAAGGAUGUGCAAAGGCCCAGAGGCAGUGAAAAGCAUGUCCUGUUCAGGGAAUCAUACCUGGAUUGUAUUGCUGGAGGAGAAACUGUGAGGAGAGUGUUGGGAGUAAAACUGAAGGGGUGCUAUGGGCAAAACAUUUUGAAGACCCUUGAAUGCCAGGCUAAGAAGUGUAGGUUUAUCUUGCAGCAGAUGGAAAGGCACUGAAAAAAUUCAAACAUAAUCAGAUGUGCAUUUUAGAAAGACCAUGCAGUCAGCAGAUUAGAGACUGGAUUAAAAGGGGACAAAUUAGUGACAAUGGGACUAUUUGGUGGUUGUUUUUACCUGCCUGCUUGGUGUAAGAGUGCUAAAGAGAACUACCUUUUAUUAAAUAGGUACAAAUGCUUAAACCCUGGCAAAAAGGAAGGCAUAAAGAUAUUUUCCAAGAGGCAUCUUUUUAAGGAAAAUGACUGCUCCCACUGAGUAAAUAUUGCAAAUUAAUUUUGUAUGUCCUGUGCAUUGCUCAUUGUUUUACUUUACUGUAGGACUGACAUCCACCUGAGCUGACAUUUCUGUCACUGCAUUGAAAGGCUGUGUAGUGUUGUAGAAAGUGUGCUACCACAAGUCAAGACACUUGCCUCUAAUUGAGCUUUAUAUCUUAGUCUUUGUAAGACCUUGGGGAAGUCAUUUUACCUCUUUGGGCUUCAUUUUCCUCAGUUGUAAAGCUGAGGGGCACAGUGUAAAUUAUUUGAAAUGCCACUUUAUUUUUAUCGUUACAUGAUUUGCAACUCUGCACUUGUUAAUCUCUCCUAACGUUUCUUUCUUACCUUGUCUUUAUGUUUUCUCACAAUUUUAAGAGGGACAGAAGUAUUUGGAGGAUAAUCCCAGGACAUUCUGUUUUUAUUGCACUAUACUUAAUGUACUUAGCCUUCUCCUGGAAGUAUUAGGAUGUUGGCAGCCGUUUUGAAACUAGGCGUUUCUAGUUGCAUGAGUCACAUUUUAUCUUCAUAUGCACAAAAAGAGGACUAUUUAAUCACUUUCAACAUCUAUUAGACCAAAUUAGUAACUAAUUUUUAAGUUAUAAAUUUUCCUUUCCAAAAUGAUUGUUUCUUGGGUCAGAAAAUGAUAUGUUCUUAGAAAGCUAGUGUAUGGAUAAAGUUGGCACUUAAAAUUAUAGGAAGUGCACUGCUUCUAGUAAUAUUCUAUUUUAAAUUCUGCAUUUCCUUGGAAACUUCGUGUUAUUUAAUGCUCUUUUUUUUCACUUAAGAGGCUGUUUACAUUGGUAAUAUAUCUUCUAGAGCUCUGGGAGUUCAUAGGGUUUGUACCUACAAAACAGCACAGCACUGUUACUGUGCUUCAGAGACAUGCAGGGGUCCCAGGGCAAAUCAAAAUGUUUUUAAAUGUAUGACAUGUGUGAAGUUGAUGAAAAUUCAUGACUUCUCUCUGUCAGGGCUGCUUAAGCUUAAAUCAUCAGAGAAAGGUGAGUGCAAAGAAUUUUAUUUAAUACUUUUAAUUCUGAAAUCCUUUCCAUCCCUUGCUUGUGGUCCUGUGUUUCAGUUCUGUUCUAUUUAGUAGUCUGCUAACAAAAAUGUUUAAAAUUAAAAAUUAGUCGCAUGCUCUAAACUGCUUUUCAGAUUUGCCUUCUUAAACUAUCACUCAGAUGUAUAACUUUUAAAGGGGAAUUGAAAUGUGGUUUGAGAAUGUAAUCACGUACUAUAGAACAUGCAAAAUACAUGUGAAAGACCACACGAGUGCUGUUAAUUUAACUGAUUAUACUUCAUGCUUUAGAAAUGUUUUCAAAUUUAUCUUUUAAACUUGAAAAGAAAAUAUUCCAUGAAAAUGUUAAGAGAUAAAAAAAAAAGCCAAAAUGCUGUGGAUAUUGAGAUCAGCUGUUUUUAACUAAAAAUCCAUUCAAAGCAAAAUAAAAGGCAUUGUGUAGUGUGGGCUGGCUAAAACUGAGAACACAAGAGCAUUGCAGUUAAUUAGAAGCAAUCAACAGGAUGCUUUGCAACAUUUCUCACAUCAGCGCACCAUCUGAUCGCUAUAAUAAAAAUUUCCCACAGUCUUGAUGCAAAAAGGAGUAGAAAUAAAUAUUUGAGUCAUUAAAAUAUAUAAUGUAUUUCAAUCGCUCUUACCAAUAAUUAUUUUUACUUAGUUAUUAUUGUUAGGAAAAUAAGAUCUUGAAAAUCCCCAAAGGUUGUUCUAUUUGUGUUAAUCUUACAUUUUUGUUUUAAUUUUGUAUGCAUUUGAAUAUGAGAAAAAUACCAAUUUUUGAAAAUAAAAUUUAGGGCAUGAAUUUGAGUUGUUAUAUGAUUUAUGUGUGGUUAGUACUUGUAAAAGAUAACUGGGCUUUUCCUGGACCGUUGGGCCAUAUAUUAUGAAUGAUUAUUAUAUUACAAAUAACUAAGUACUAUAUUAUAGCUAUUUUCAUAUUAACACAAUAUUGAACUAAGUUAACUAUAUUAACAGCUGUAUCAUAGAAGUCUUAAAAGAAUGUACAAUAUUUAACACUAUUACUUUUCUACAAUUUGUUCAAUGCUUGAUUCUACUCAGAAGUUUUACUUUAGUUUCAUUUGUUCGACAUCAGAAAUUAUUUUACUAGGGCAAAAAUAUUGCUUUUGUCAUAUUUUUAUGAAGUUCAUAAUCUGUUCAUUAUAAGUAACAUUUGUUUUUUUCUUCCCGCCCACUGCAUCCUUUUUUUUUUCCAUUUUGGGGUGUGUGUGUGUGUGUGUGUGUCUGUGUGUCUGUGUGACAGAUUCUUUGUUAUGUUGUCUUCUCACAUUAAAGGUAGAGCUCGCUCUGGGCCACUGAGGUGCUUCAAAACACAUAAACACGUAAAAUGGUUUGUUAAAAAUGUUUAGCAUGAAUCAGAACUAUAUACAUUUUGGCAAUAGUUUUACAACUUUUUUUCCCUCAAAAAAGCUUAUUUGUGAAUGUCCAGGAGGCGCCCUUUUUAGAGGCAAAAAUAGCUGUGAAACCAGUGCUAUUAAUAAGAGGAUUGUCUUCCAAAAAAGUCUACGAUUUGUUCUCCUGUAUUUAUAAAGUACAACUCGCUGAUGAGAGGAAUUUUCUCUUCAGACUAUAGUCAUCUCUUGCUGAAAGAAAACAUGCUUUAGAAGAAAAUACAUUUGGUUUGUUUUAACUAUUUUUGUUUAUUGUUUGUUUUGUUUUGGUCUGUAUGUUUUCUCCUCUCACAUCACACAAGAUUUUUUUUUCUCUCCCUGUUCCCCAAAAAAGCUUUUUGCUAAGCAUGUUCUUUCUAGAGCACUCAUUACAUUUUUCUGUAGAAUAAAAAAAAAAAUAGUUUCAAAGAACUAUCUUCUCUUUGGCACCAAACUAUUUUUUUGUACUCUUCUUUGUACAGAUUUGAUCUACUUCAUUGCAGGAGGGUGUCUCUUAGCUAGGUUCUUGUUAGGGAAUUUACUCUUUCUGCUGCUUUAUAGAGACAAAUAGCUUUGAUGAUAAAUACUUUAGAAUACACAUCUUACAAGUUCAGGAAAAGGCUAUGUUAGGAUGUCAAUAUUUUUCUUCUGACUAAAGAGCCUAUUAAAUGCACAGUACUAUUUGUGCUUAAAAUUUUAAACUCUGGUAUUUUUGCUCAUCAAGAUUGGAGCAUUAGCUACAAACGUUCACUGCUCCAAUGAAAAGCAGUUCAGUAACGAACAGCCUGAAAUUGGCUCUGUUGCAUUUAGUUUGGUUUAUAGGAAUUGGAAUAAUAAUGCUCUAAAAAUGCAUAUUAAAAUACUUGCUUACCUCUAACAUCAUUAUUUCUUAAAGCAAACAAUUUAGACAGAAAAGUCAUUUGAUAAAAAUAAUUGAUUUGGACAAAAUAAUACUCACAUUCUUCUGCCAGAUAAUGAUUUAGCAGCUACUCUUACUUCAGUGGUACUUCAUUAGACACAAUUCUCAUUCAUCUGAAAGCCUUACAAAAAAAUCCACAUUUUUAAUUCUUUAAAAAUUACUUUAUUUUUAAAGAAAUGAACAAAUACAGGAAAAGAGAAUAAAAUCCCUAACAGAAUUUACUUGCUGUUAUUCAGUUCUUUAAAAAAUUUCUUAAGAGACAGAAAUGUCAUAUGCUUAGUUUCAGGACAAAGGCACCUUUUUAAAUGAAGGGCUUAAAGAAAAUCGAUGAAGAAGUUUGCUUACUAGAAAGUGGGCUAACUAAGCUUUUGGUUGUAAAAAUUACCUAUAUUACAAAACAAGAACAUAACUAAUGUUUAGUGAACUUUAGAACUAAUAUAAGGCUAGUCUUUAAUAAAAAGUAUUUAAAAAAAAACAAUUAUGAGCAACUUCUGGAAUUCACUUUGGGUAGCAUGUCCAGGGGGUACAUUGUUUUACUCUUUUUCUAUGGUAGAGCCGAUUUAACUUGGGAGUUAAGAAAACUUAUGUAACUUCAGAAUGUUUCCAGCUAGUGGUUUUAUGCAGGACUAGUAUUAUGCAGUUAAAAACAAAAACAAAAACCUUAUAGUCAUACAAUGUUAAUUAACUCAUUUAGCAAUGUAGGUUGUUAUUAUUAUGAUUAUUCUUUUGCUUGAAAAAUGACCAAGCUAUGUAGAUCAGGAAUCAAAAUGAUUCAGGUUCUUAGCAAUGUUAUAAAGUGUUCUUUUUAAUAGUUUAGUAAUUAAUUAAAAGUCUCUUGCAGGUGAUUCAUUAAUAUUCAUUUUUAUAUUUUGAGACUUAAAUAUAUUUAAAUUUUCCUGAUCAUUAAAAGCUUUUAGCUGCAUAUUGUGUUUAAGUAAGAAAAAAAAAUCUACUGUAAACGGGCUGAAUUCAUUUAAGAGAGUGUUUACAUUUAUAUUUCUUUUUAAUAAACAAAGUUGUUACAUUUAAUACAUCGUAAUUUUGCUAAAGUUGCAAGCAUUUUGCUAAAAUGUUUUAUUUGGUAAUGAAAACAAUUUCAUAAAUAUUAAUAAAUCUUCACUUUCUUUACUACUUUCUAUCAAUUUUUGAUUCCUUUUAAAAUACAAACAUAUUAUUUAUUUUUAAUGGAAUGAAUAAAUAUAUUUAGGAUUCAAAUUUCCUGUAAUGAAACAGAGUUUAAAAUCUUCAACAGGAUAGUAAACUAUUUACUUGGCUUCACUCUGUCUGUCUUCUAUAUGAUUCGACAGAACUAAGUAGUGAAAACUAACCAAAACCAGAAAUCAACUGAGAGAAUAUUCAAGAAAGAAAAAGGAAGAGUUGCAGGAAAUGAUAUUUUCCCAUCAGUGGAUAGGCAUGCAUAUAUUAAAGACAUAAAAGGCAGCAAGGGGAGAAACAAAAGCUGUAUACUGGGGAUUCUGCAAGUCUGAAUUAACUAAAUGGAAAAAAAAUGAAAUCAUUCUGCUUAAACUUGUUCACUAAUAAAAGGAGAAUUGCUUUUGUUAAAUAUGCUUGGUGUGAUUAUCAAGCAAAAUUUUUUUUUCUCCCAGACAUCUAUGAAUAAAACAUGCGUUUGAGCAUUAGGUAAACAAACAAUAAAUGGAUGAGUUCAGUUGCAACAUAAUAACAUUUUAUUUAGAAAACAUAUAUAAUCAUAUUUGUAUUGGCAAUCCAAAUUUAAUGACUUCUUUCAGUAAAAUUAAAGUGCCUCACAAAUAACAUCUUAUGCAUAAGGAUUGCUUAUUCUUUGCCCAAUUUUUCCUAUUUUUUCAAAGAAACAGAUUUUUAAGGUCUCUGCUGAACCAUACAUAAACCAGAGGAAGCACGAUUUCUCAGAAAAAUAAAAUUUCUUUUGAGUCAUCUUAAUUUUAUGUUACAGAUCUUGUAAAAAAUUUUAAAAUAUAUUUCUGGGACUGAGGGAGAAAAUGUUCUCAAGGCUGCUAUAGCUUGAGCUGAUUUGAACAAGGCUGUGUAUGCAGCUGAACCAGUCUUUGGCUUAUUAGCCAUUUCAUUAACAUGACAUCUUCUGUAAACUAUGAAUGAGAAUAAACCAUUUACAAUAAGGAAAGCAAACAACAGAAUGAAUUUCCUCUGUUGGUGUUUUAUAAGACUGUUAAACAGAAAAUGGAGGGAAGAACUCUCUUUAGACGAUAUCACUUAAUUAAGUAAAGCAUCCUAAUCAGAGUCCCCUCCAAUUGUAAUGACUGUAGGGAGUCAAGUACAUUUCUGUCUAUAUUAGAGUAUCUAACUGCAAUGAUUUAUUGAUAUUUAUUUUAGAAGUACAACACAAAAGCAAUAAAAGAGAAGAAGCAGGGAGAGAGGGAACAUGCCAUUGCUUACUGCAGGAACAAUCAGAGCACUUCAGCAAAAUUCCUGAUUUUCUUGUGGGGGGGGGUUGACUUUCUAAAAUCAGAGCACACCUUUAGAUGAGAAUGGUCCUUUCCUGCAUUUGACUUUUCCAAAUAUUCACUGUGACGUUUCUUUGUCCAUUGGGUGAAUCAUUGAUUCACUUUCUUCACUGCAAGAAUCACUGCAAAUGAGAGGAUGAGCACCUGCUGUUUUCUGCAGUGACAUUACUAGAUGCAUUCUACACUGAUUUGAGUCUUAAAGUACAGCUUCUUUGUAUGGGAGAGAGAUUUGAGGAACAAGAGUAAAUAUACUGUAUAGGCAGACAGACAUUGGCCGCCCUCCAAGCUGCACACAGCAUAAACCUGUUUAUCUGCCACAUUUCACAAACCUCAAAAACAUGUGAAUAAAUCAGGCAAGCAACUGGAUAAGUGAUUCACACUAGGGAAUCCAACCAAUAUUCUGAUGAGAGGGUACUAUAAUGCUAAGACAUUGGGGCAAAUAGACUUGUAGAAACUGCACAUAAUAAAAUUGAUUAGUGGUUCAAAGGAGAAAAUAUUCUACACCAAAAUGAAUCUGAAGAGGUAUCCCAACUCUGUGAACUUCUGUUGGAUAUUUAUGCACAAGUUAUCUGGAGAGUGGGUUCAAAAAUAUACUGUCACCCAUAUUAUUCCAAUAAUUGGGGCCAAUGUGCAUUUGGACUUCAAGUUAGUUAUCAAAAUACUUUAUUUCUGGAUACCUGGAUCUAAAUAUCGGAGGCUAGUGCCUUGAAAGCCCCUAAUUACACCAACACAUAUAUUUGAAAUUAAAUUACCGAACACGCUUUGAACCUAUUCACUUUGUGAAAGCAAACUUUUCUUAGAAAGUUACAUCCUUAUAAUUGAAGAUGAAUUGCUUGGUAAUAAGUGAAUUAGGCAAGCAAAGGCAUAAUUAUUGCUACAUGACUACUUUUUCUCUUACUUUCUGCUAUUUCUAACUCAUCUGCUGAUCUUUUUAAUGGUUAUUGUGCGUCAGCAUUUAGUUGUAAAAUGGAAGUUCUCAAAGGUUUGGGGGCUAACCUCAAAAGUAUGCUUUGGUCCUGAAGAUCCCUUAAGAUUGUUUAUGAAUUUCAUGUUUGGAUUAUUUCCCUAAACUAGACCUGAUUAUAGUCACAGCAAGAUGAAUUAUCCAUUUGCUUGUUAUGUCUAUUAGCUUCCAGUAGAGACCUACUAUCUUACUACCAAGAAAAUGUAGUUUUCUCUACAUUUGCAAACACAAAAUACUAUUCCAGAGUGAAGAGGAAUCAAAUAAGGCAUUCCAUGACUUUGUUUCCUACACUGCAGAAUAAAAAGGCAAAUUGCUAAAACUUUUUGGCCCUGAAAAACCUUAUUAGAUUAGUAACCUAAGACAUCAUCAUCUUAGCAACAGGAAGUCAUGGAAAAGGUAGGUGGCCUGGAAGUUUUGGCAGGUUCAAGAUUCUUGGUUAAAGACUUGCCUCCAAAGAGCCUGUUUGAAUCUAUUGACAAUUGUAUCUACCAAUUUUUUUUUCCUUGACGUUUUCUCAUCUUCUUGCUUCUUGUCUCAGGUUGUUUCUUCAGGAUCAGGCACAGAGACUGAAUGGCUCCAAUGAUCAGGAUUUGAAAACCUAAUAUCAGAAUCUGCUGUUUUGUCAGCUACUUGAAAUACUUUAUCAGUGAAAGUCUUGACUCAGCAAACAUACGUGUAAGAACGUGGAGCAGUUACCUACAGAGUCCAUUGUUCACCUGUUUAUCCUGGAUUUAGAACUAUUUCUUAUGUUUGCUGAUGUCUGAGAGGCUAUGGCUUACUCCAUUUAUACCCAGGUUGGUAUACACAUUCACUCGUUUCUUCAUUCAUUUACACAUUUAUUUAUUCACUUUGUUAUUUGUGGCAUACAGAUUCAUAUGUAGCCCUUAGUGAGCCCUGCUUUCUGGUGUUUACCCAUGUGUGUGGGCAGGACAUAUGACUUGCUUCUAACCAACAGAAUAUAGUUAGUAAAGGUGACGAAAUGUCCCCUCUGUGAUUGAUUACAUAAUAAAGACUCUGUCUUGUUGGAAGACUCAAUCUAGAGAGUGUCCUUGCUGGCUUGAUGAGAUAAGCGGCCAUGUUGGGGAAAACCCCAUGGUGAGAAACUGUGGACAGUUUCCAGACAACAGCCAGGAAGAAGCUGGGAUCCUUGAUCUUAGAGCUGCCAGGAAAUGAAUUCUGCCAAGAAUGUGAGUGAACUUGGAAGGUAUUUCUUCCCCAGUUGAGCCUCCCGAUGGGAACACAGUCCAGAUGAUACCUUGCUUGCAGUCUUGUGAGACUGUAAGUAGAGGGACCAUCUAAGCCAUGCCUUCACCUGUAGAAACUGUGAAAUGAUAAAUGGCUAUUGUUUUUAGCUACUAAGUAUGUGUUAAUUUGUUGUGCAGCUAUAGAAAAUGAAUACACUGUGCUGUGCUAACUACCAUAUAGGCCUUCUCUCAGUACCUGAAGUAGCCUCAUGAGCCUGACACUAAUAUUAUUCCCAUUUUACAGAUGAAGAAACUGAGCCUCAGGAACUGAACUGCAGAAUGUCCUGCUCUCAACCACUGAACUAUCAUGCUAUGUUUCAUUUUUAAUGUAUUUCAUUAUUUCACAAAUUCAAGUUUAUCACGGUUUAAAACUUAUCUCCUGAACAUGCCAACUGUAUUUACAAAAAGCCCUACUAGGCACACCUAGUACACAAAAUAAAUGUUUUUAUAAAUGCAACAUUACAAGGAACUUUUCUUUUGUGCUACAUUUUUACCAUGUAUCUCACAGAAAUAAUAUUAGAUUCAUGAAUAGAAAAGUUUCUAUUUUCUGUUAAAGUAGUGAUAGACUGUAUCACUAAAAUAGUGAUAGACUGUAAACUAUUUAGAAGGGAGAAUAAUUAUGGCUGAUAGAAGCCCCAGAUUCAUGGGAACUGAUUUGGAGUUAAAACAGUCAAGUAAACAUCCAUUAGAAUGUGCUGGAUCUUACUGCAGGACAAAAACGUUUCAUCUUGGGUCCUAACUUUCCCAUUUAUGUUCAGGUAUAGGGAAACAUUAGGAAGUGGGGAGAUCGAGAAAUACUUAAAAGAAAAACAACAACAACUAAAGUCCUAUUUGGAUCAGUGCUCUGAGAAUCUGAGAUAGGAUUAUGACACCACUACUGUGUCUUCUAAUGACAGCUCUUUCUAUUCUGCAUUUAUCAGAUGUUAAUUAUUCAUACUGCAUGAUUGAUGAUUUUGGAGUCAGAGAUUCACCUGCAAUAUUUGGAAUACUGGUGGAGGCCUACAUCAACACAGAAUUUAUAAAGCAGCUGGUGCUAGUCAAAGCUAAUGAUGGAAUUUCAGUUUAAUAAAAAGACCCCCAACUGAGCACACCAUCUUGAAAAAAGUAUACUUAUCGAACGGCUUUCAAUCAGUUCAAGAGAGACACCUUAAUUGGGAAGAGGAAGAUUUGCAGAGCAGUUUGUCAUUGUGCCAAUUCUAGAUCAAUAACUGCAUGUCUGCUCUUUGGGAGACACAGCUUUUGCUUUAUAUUGAGUAACCACAUUGACUUCCUCUCCACUUGGGUACACUCUGUUUCAUUUGAUAAUGUUAAAGGAUAUCUUCUUUUAAUUCACCUCUGUGUCUUCAUAAUAAACAUGAGCAAAUGUA